UACAUGCAAGUCGAGCGGACUGAUGGGAGCUUGCUCCCUGAUGUUAGCGGCGGACGGGUGAGUAACACGUGGGCAACCUGCCUGUAAGACUGGGAUAACUCCGGGAAACCGGGGCUAAUACCGGAUAACCCGUUCCACCUCAUGGUGGAGCGGUAAAAGAUGGCCUCUGGCUAUCACUUACAGAUGGGCCCGCGGCGCAUUAGCUAGUUGGUAAGGUAACGGCUUACCAAGGCGACGAUGCGUAGCCGCCCUGAGAGGGUGAUCGGCCACACUGGGACUGAGACACGGCCCAGACUCCUACGGGAGGCAGCAGUAGGGAAUCUUCCGCAAUGGACGAAAGUCUGACGGAGCAACGCCGCGUGAGUGAUGAAGGUUUUCGGAUCGUAAAGCUCUGUUGUUAGGGAAGAACAAGUGCCGUUUGAAUAAGGCGGCACCUUGACGGUACCUAACCAGAAAGCCACGGCUAACUACGUGCCAGCAGCCGCGGUAAUACGUAGGUGGCAAGCGUUGUCCGGAAUUAUUGGGCGUAAAGCGCGCGCAGGCGGUCUCUUAAGUCUGAUGUGAAAGCCCACGGCUCAACCGUGGAGGGUCAUUGGAAACUGGGAGACUUGAGUACAGAAGAGGAGAGUGGAAUUCCACGUGUAGCGGUGAAAUGCGUAGAUAUGUGGAGGAACACCAGUGGCGAAGGCGACUCUCUGGUCUGUAACUGACGCUGAGGCGCGA
rnacentral:rRNA from 1 species